UGCAAGUCGAACGAACCUUCGGGUUAGUGGCGGACGGGUGAGUAACGCGUGGGAAUCUGCCCUCAGGAGGGGGAUAACGGCUGGAAACGGCCGCUAAUACCCCAUAUGCCGAGAGGUGAAAUGAAUUUCGCCUGAGGAUGAGCCCGCGUCUGAUUAGCUAGUUGGUGUGGUAAUGGCGCACCAAGGCUUCGAUCAGUAGCUGGUCUGAGAGGAUGAUCAGCCACACUGGGACUGAGACACGGCCCAGACUCCUACGGGAGGCAGCAGUGGGGAAUUUUCCGCAAUGGGCGAAAGCCUGACGGAGCAACGCCGCGUGAGGGAUGAAGGCCUCUGGGCUGUAAACCUCUUUUCUCAAGGAAGAAGAACUGACGGUACUUGAGGAAUAAGCCACGGCUAAUUCCGUGCCAGCAGCCGCGGUAAUACGGGAGUGGCAAGCGUUAUCCGGAAUUAUUGGGCGUAAAGCGUCCGCAGGCGGCCUUGUAAGUCUGCUGUCAAAGCGUGGAGCUUAACUCCAUUUCGGCAG
rnacentral:rRNA from 1 species